UCAAAAACAUGUCCUUUAGGAUUUAAUUUAAGGUCUAGCCUGCCCACUGAUUUAUUAAAUGGCCGCAGUAUUUUAACUGUGCAAAGGUAGCAUAAUCAUUAGUCUUUUAAUUGGAGGCUUGUAUGAAUGGUUGGACAAGAUAUAUAUUGUUUCAUAUAAAUUUAUAGAAUUUUAUUUUUUAGUUAAAAAGCUUAAAUUUAAUUAAAAGACGAGAAGACCCUAUAGAUCUUUAUAAUUGUUGAAUUUAAUUUAUGAAGAAUGUUUUAUUUUUAAUUUAUUCAAUUAUUUUAUUGGGGUGAUAGCAAGAUUUAUUUAACUCUUGAAUAAUUUAAUACAUAAAUUAAUGAUUAAUUGAUCCAGUAUUAUUGAUUAGUAAAAUAAGUUACCUUAGGGAUAACAGCGUAAUUUUUUUAGAGAGUUCAUAUCGAUAAAAAAGAUUGCGACCUCGAUGUUGGAUUAAGAGAUAAGUUUGGGCGCAGCCGUCAAAUU
rnacentral:rRNA from 1 species